rnacentral:rRNA from 1 species
UACAGAGGGGGCAAGCGUUGCUCGGAAUUACUGGGCGUAAAGGGCGCGUAGGCGGGAUGGCAAGUCGGUCGUGAAAUCCCUCGGCUCAACUGAGGAUCGUCGAUCGAUACUGCCGUUCUUGAGGAUUGCAGAGGAGACUGGAAUUCCCAGUGUAGCGGUGAAAUGUGUAGAGAUCGGGAGGAACACCGGUGGCGAAGGCGGGUCUCUGGGCAAAUACUGACGCUGAGGCGCGAAAGCGUGGGGAGCAAACGGG